AUUGAACGCUGGCGGCAGGCCUAACACAUGCAAGUCGAACGGUAACAGGAAGAAGCUUGCUUCCUUGCUGACGAGUGGCGGACGUGUGAGUAAUGUCUGGGAAACUGCCUGAUGGAGGGGGAUAACUACUGGAAACGGUAGCUAAUACCGCAUAACGUCGCAAGACCAAAGAGGGGGACCUUCAGGCCUCUUGCCUUCGGCUGUGCCCAGAUGGGAUUAGCUAGUAGGUGGGGUAACGGCUCACCUAGGCGACGAUCCCUAGCUGGUCUGAGAGGGUGACCAGCCACACUGGAACUGAGACACGGUCCAGACUCCUACGGGAGGCAGCAGUGGGGAAUAUUGCACAAUGGGCGCAAGCCUGAUGCAGCCAUGCCGCGUGUAUGAAGAAGGCCUUCGGAUUGUAAAGUACUUUCAGCGGGGAGGAAGGGAGUAAAGUUAAUACCUGCGCUCAUUGACGUUACCCGCAGAAGAAGCACCGGCUAACUCCGUG
rnacentral:rRNA from 1 species